CUCUCUCCCUCUCUCUAAAAUUCUCUCUCUCACCAUUUUCUCUCUCCUCAAAAAACUACCAUUAAAGCUUAGAAAAGGUCGAUGAAGCUUCAAUUCGCUGAUUUCAGAAGGAGAACAAUCCUAAAAUCGGGGUGAAAAACCUACGAACGGAGAAGGUAAACAACAAUAUGCAAAUUUCUAACUAUUCGCUUGUUUUUUAGAAUUUAAUUUAAGUUAAUUUGUGGUUACUUUUGAUUUUAAAGAAAAAUAUGAAAAGUGAAGAUGAAAUUGCGAAAAAAGAUUGACGAAAAACACAAUUCAGAUUCAGAAGAUAGAGAAGAAUCGUAGAGAUAAUUCAAUCACGAAAAUGAGAUUAAACGCUUCAAAACAUCAGAGCCACGACGCACUGGUAUCCCUACUGUCGAACAAGCAUUUCUGAAGGACAUCCUUGAAAAUGCUGGUUUGAGAAAAUGAAGAUAUUGAAGGUUGAGUAUUGUGGCAAGAUAUUGGCGCGUAGGGAAAAUGAUGGACAUCAUGUUAUGAUUCCAAAGUCAAGGAAAUGGGCAACAAAGAAUCAAAUUUUUAACGGGAUCAUAGUGUCUUUGUAACAUCAAAUGUUGAAUUUCUUGUAAAUACUUUAUGUUGAAUUCGUAAAAUUGGUAAACCGACAAUUUCGAUAUUAGUUGGUUUUUAUCAACUUGUAAUGAUUCAUUUGCUUGAAGUUUUAACCUUGUUUGAAGUUUAUUUUGACGAAUAGACUCGUGAUGUGAUA